rnacentral:rRNA from 1 species
UACGAAGGGGGCUAGCGUUGCUCGGAAUCACUGGGCGUAAAGCGCACGUAGGGGGGUCCUUAAGUCAGGGGUGAAAUCCCGGAGCUCAACUCCAGAACUGCCUUUGAUACUGAGAAGCUUGAGUCCGGGAGAGGUGAGUGGAACUGCGAGUGUAGAGGUGAAAUUCGUAGAUAUUCGCAAGAACACCAGUGGCGAAGGCGGCUCACUGGCCCGGUACUGACGCUGAGGUGCGAAAGCGUGGGGAGCAAACAGG